UGGCGAACGGGCGAGUAACGCGUGAGGAACCUGCCUCAAAGAGGGGGACAACAGUUGGAAACGACUGCUAAUACCGCAUAAGCCCACGGGUCGGCAUCGACCUGAGGGAAAAGGAGCAAUCCGCUUUGAGAUGGCCUCGCGUCCGAUUAGCUAGUUGGUGAGGUAACGGCCCACCAAGGCGACGAUCGGUAGCCGGACUGAGAGGUUGAACGGCCACAUUGGGACUGAGACACGGCCCAG
rnacentral:rRNA from 1 species